rnacentral:rRNA from 1 species
UAGAGUUUGAUCAUGGCUCAGAUUGAACGCUGGCGGCAGGCCUAACACAUGCAAGUCGAACGGUAACAGGAAGCAGCUUGCUGCUUCGCUGACGAGUGGCGGACGGGUGAGUAAUGUCUGGGAAACUGCCCGGUGGAGGGGGAUAACUACUGGAAACGGUAGCUAAUACCGCAUAACGUCGCAAGACCAAAGAGGGGGACCUUCGGGCCUCUUGCCACCGGAUGUGCCCAGAUGGGAUUAGCUUGUUGGUGAGGUAACGGCUCACCAAGGCGACGAUCCCUAGCUGGUCUGAGAGGAUGACCAGCCACACUGGAACUGAGACACGGUCCAGACUCCUACGGGAGGCAGCAGUGGGGAAUAUUGCACAAUGGGCGCAAGCCUGAUGCAGCCAUGCCGCGUGUAUGAAGAAGGCCUUCGGGUUGUAAAGUACUUUCAGCGGGGAGGAAGGGAUUGUGGUUAAUAACCGCAGUCAUUGACGUUACCCGCAGAAGAAGCACCGGCUAACUCCGUGCCAGCAGCCGCGGUAAUACGGAGGGUGCAAGCGUUAAUCGGAAUUACUGGGCGUAAAGCGCACGCAGGCGGUCUGUCAAGUCGGAUGUGAAAUCCCCGGGCUCAACCUGGGAACUGCAUUCGAAACUGGCAGGCUUGAGUCUCGUAGAGGGGGGUGGAAUUCCAGGUGUAGCGGUGAAAUGCGUAGAGAUCUGGAGGAAUACCGGUGGCGAAGGCGGCCCCCUGGACGAAGACUGACGCUCAGGUGCGAAAGCGUGGGGAGCAAACAGGAUUAGAUACCCUGGUAGUCCACGCCGUAAAACGAUGUCUACUUGGAGGUUGUGCCCCUGAGGCGUGGCUUCCGGAGCUAACGCGUUAAGUAGACCGCCUGGGGAGUACGGCCGCAAGGUUAAAACUCAAAUGAAUUGACGGGGGCCCGCACAAGCGGUGGAGCAUGUGGUUUAAUUCGAUGCAACGCGAAGAACCUUACCUGGUCUUGACAUCCACGGAAGACUGCAGAGAUGCGGUUGUGCCUUCGGGAGCCGUGAGACAGGUGCUGCAUGGCUGUCGUCAGCUCGUGUUGUGAAAUGUUGGGUUAAGUCCCGCAACGAGCGCAACCCUUAUCCUUUGUUGCCAGCGGUUAGGCCGGGAACUCAAAGGAGGCUGCCAGUGAUAAACUGGAGGAAGGUGGGGAUGACGUCAAGUCAUCAUGGCCCUUACGACCAGGGCUACACACGUGCUACAAUGGCAUAUACAAAGAGAAGCGACCUCGCGAGAGCAAGCGGACCUCAUAAAGUAUGUCGUAGUCCGGAUUGGAGUCUGCAACUCGACUCCAUGAAGUCGGAAUCGCUAGUAAUCGUGGAUCAGAAUGCCACGGUGAAUACGUUCCCGGGCCUUGUACACACCGCCCGUCACACCAUGGGAGUGGGUUGCAAAAGAAGUAGGUAGCUUAACCUCCGGGAGGGCGCUUACCACUUUGUGAUUCAUGACUGGGGUGAAGUCGUAACAAGGUAACCGUA